rnacentral:piRNA from 1 species
GUCAUGAUCUGCUGAGAUGGUUUCU